rnacentral:tRNA from 1 species
GGUCUUGUAGCUUAGAUGGUUAGAGUGUUGGUCUUAUGAGUAGAAGGUCGUGGGUUUGAGCCCUGCUAAGACCA